GAUUUGGUAGAGUGCCGUGGCAUCGUAGCUCACAGCAACCUCAAACUCAUGGGCUUAAGCCAUCCUCUUGCCUCACUUGCCUCAGCCUCCCAAGUAGCUGGGACUACAGGCGCCCACCACCACCACACCCAGCUAUUUUUUAGAGACAGAGUCUCACUCUUGCUCAGGCUGGUCUCCAAUUCCUGAGCUCAGGCAAUCCACCCUCCUUCCAAAGUUGUGAAAUCACAGAUGUGAGCCACCACACCUGGCCAGUUUAGUCUUAUAGUUUAAGUUUUUGCCACAGGGUCUCAGUCUUCCACCCAGGCUGAACUACAGUGGUGCAAUCAUAGUUCACAGCAACAUUGAACUCUGGGCCUCAAGUAACCCUCCUGCCUCAGCUUCCCAGGUAGGUGGGACCACAGGUGUGUGCCACUGCGCUCGGCUUCUCCAUUUUAGAAUAACUUUCCACAAACUGUUUUAGUGCUUAAAUGACUAGAGAAUAUGGAGGUUUUUCUGCUUUGUCACAUGUGUUCAUCUAGUCAUAAUUUGCAUAAACUCAAUUUUGGUCCCUUUUAUACUGUCUCUAGUGUAGGCCUUAACCUAUAUCUUACAUUUAGCCUACAGAUAGGACUUUUGCCUUUGGAUGAUCUUCUUUAAAAAGGCAUGAUUAACAAGCGUGGUGACUCAUGUGAGCCUGUAAUCUCAGCACUUCAGGAGGCCAGGAGUUGACGGCCAGCCUGAGCAGCAUAGUAAGACACUGUGUCUACAGAAAAAGAAAAAGCAGCUUGGUGUGUCCGUCUAGCCUGGGUCGUAGAGCAGAACUGUACCUUAAAACAUAAAAACAAGCUCAGCACCUAUAGCUCAGCGGCUAGAGCGCCAGCCACAUACACCAGAGCUGGCGGAUUCAAAUCCAGCCCAGGCCUGCUAAACAACAAUGACAACUACAACCAAAAAAAUAGCCGGGCGUUGUGGUGGGUGCUUGUAGUCCCAGCUACUUGAGAGGCUAAGGCAAGAGAAUCGAUUAAGCCCAAGAGUUUGAGGUUGCCAUGAGCUGUGACAUCACAGCACUCUACCAAGGGCGACAGCUUGAGACUCUGUCUCAAAAAUAAAUAAAUAAAAACAGAUGGACUGUUUGUGCACCUGUGCCUGCUGGUGGAGGGUUUCCCACUCUGGCUGUCACAUGAGUGUGCUGACCAGAGCUUGUGAAGUUCUGUGACUUACGUGACAGCCUCACUAAACGCUGUGUCCUUACUCCUGACGUGCAGUGACUUCGCCUGAGGUCACUGUCUGUGUGAGGGAGCUGUGAUUUCAGAAGGGCUCCAUCAUUGGACUUUCUCUGAUGCUGUGUGUCACUGUGUGACUCCUGUAGACUGUGCCCCUGGGAUAGCCUGGAGGGGUGGCCUCACACUCAGCUGCCCUCACCAGUGGGUCGGGAGAGAGGUAAUGGUGGUCACUGGUGGUAAAUGACCUGGUUACUGGCGUGUGGGUGGGUGAAUCUGCUGAGUGGGGGAAAGAGCACUCAUUGCAGUGUGUUUGGGGGGAGGGGGGGGUGGAGGCAGAGUCCAGUGCUCCAAGUGUGCCCACACAGGGCAGGGUGUCUCUGACAGGGACACUGCAGCUGUUCUGUUCUUCAGUGGAAAAGCAGAAUCAUUACCAGGAAACAAGGCGAGUGGCCAGGCUGUGCCACAGUCCACCUCAAGAUAGCAGGAGCAGUGGCCUGGAGCAUCAAGUAGAGCAGAGAGACGGUGUCGCCCAGGGUUGUGCUGUGGCGUUCCCGUGGGUUUUGCCUGUGGCCCUGUCCUGGUUCUUUGUUACAGUGUUAGGUGUGCUGGGCCUUGGGAAACUGGAUCUCCCUGGCUUCCCCACCUUUCUGACUGGAGAUCACAGGACCCUCAUUCCAGAGCGGUCUGAGGCCGCACGCUGAAGGCUGAUGGUAUUUCCGCUUGGUGGUCUGUGGAACCCCGAGAGGACUGGGUUCAGAGAGCCUUGGGACAGCGGUACACGCAGAGGUGCCUGGAGAAGGCUCCCCAGGGAAAGGCAGGGCCCGAGCCCCUUCCUCAGACCUACCCCGUCUGUAUCCUUUGUAAUGGCCUGUAUAGAGAACCAGUAAAGUGUUCCCUGACUUCUGUGAGCUAUUCCAGAAAGUAAACCCGAGGAGGGGGUAUAGGAGCCCCAAUUUGAAGCUGGUGGCCCAGACCUGUGACUGGGGGGCAGGAGGGCAGUUUUGGGGCCUACUCCUAUGGACAGAGUGUCAGGAUUGAAUCAAGGGACACCAGCUGGGGUCCUUUGCUUGCUGUGUGGGAAUGCUCCACAUCGGUCACACGGUCAUCUGUGUGAUGAAUGUGUAUGACGUGAGAGCAGAACGUGUCUAGAGGUUUCCUGGAGCAGCUGGUGCAUGUAGUGUGGGGACGGGAGGUGCUGUCUGGGCCACAGAAGGUAAGGGGAGCAUUCUGAGGAUGGAGUGGGCCGUGGCAAGGCUAGACUGGGGGAGCCCAGAGCCCGUAGUAGGGAUGUGGGAGAGUUCUGUGGUGACUGGCCAGCAGGUGUGGGGAAGGCAGGGUUUGGGCUAAAGUGUGAGGUGCACACAGGGCACCGUCAGGUUUGCAACAACGAAAUCCCAGAGGGGCAGGUGCCAGCACUUCGACCACCCAGGCUGCGCUGCUGCUGAGCAUCUGCAUGGGGGCCGAUGUCCCUGACUUUGAAGCCCCGUGCGGUGGGACUGCAUGUGGUCUUUCUUGUCUGCCCUGUGACUGGCCCCUGCUGUUGUGUGUGGUGGCAAUUUGCUGGUUUUCAUAGCUGUGUGGUGCCUGGCCAUGUGAGCACACCACAGCUUGGGGGCUGUCUUUCUGCUGUGGGGCAUUUGAGGUGUUGCUUCUGAAGACACCUUUGCACAGGGUAUGGUGGGGGGCACUGAGCACCUGUGUGGGGUUUCUGGGUCAGAGUGCGUGUGUUUGCCUUUAGUGGACAUUGCCAAGUAGUUCUGGGAGUCACCGAACCGACCUCCACUCCCAGGAGCAGAGCAUGAAAGAGCUGCUGCAGCUCUUUGGAGUGGUCAGGGGUCUUUCUCCCUGCAGUCCUCCUGUGCUCGCUGGCCAAGGGUGGGUCUGGUGACACCCUGUCAUCACCCUGAGUGCUUCUCUUGAGACUUGUUUUCUAACUCAGUUCCAAGUAGUGAGGCAGAGAGCUCAUGGGGGCUUGCAGAAUUUGAGACCCACAGCGAGUCCUGCAGGCAGCUGUGUGGUCACUGCAGCUGAAUUUGUUGAUCAGCUUACUGUGGUCAUGUGCCAAGACAUGUGUUUAAGUAAUUUAUUCUGGAGCUGACUGAGGGGGAAGGAGCUGGCAACUGCCUCGCAUCUCAUGGGUUGAUUCUGUUUUGACAAUGACAAAGUAGUAAUUUUAGGUGAUAAGUUUUAAGUCUUGUAUCUUUUUUGGUCAGAGAUCGAUUGGAAUUGUUGAGUGUUGGUAGGGUUUUAAGCAGGGUAGUGAUGUUCCCUUUAUGCCUGUGAAUAGAUUCCUGUGUGCAUCAUGGAGAUUGGACUCCGAGGGGCAGAAGAGGACAUGGGGGACACCAGGAGGCUAUUAAAGUAAUCCCAUGGUCACUGCGGUGCUCGCUGGUGGCAGUAAAGAUGGAGAGAUGAAAAGGAAAUAUUCACACUGGAAUUUUGUUUUGAAAGACUUUAUAGUUUGAAAAAGACAAGAAUAAUACCACAAACACCUGUGUACUCUCCCGUAGAACUAGCCACUAGAGCUAAAUGACUUGUCCAAGGUCCUAGGCUCUCGGGUCUCCUUAAGGCUGGUCAGCCCUAGGCGGCCUUGCCGUCACCAGCCAUGCUGCCUCCAACCCCUUGGGUUUCUGCCUCCAGCGCCCUCCGUGCUCGGCCCUGCUGUUGUUCUCCUGGCUAGCCCCCACCUGGGACACCAGCCAUCCACACUCCCCCAUUCCAGCCCCCAGCUCCACAGUCCUGACACUGAGUGGGGUGGUGUUUGUACUUUCACUUGACUCCCUAAAACAUAAAGCUCCAGGAGGCAGAGGCUUUGAUGAAGAUGAGCUGCGGCCCAGGAACCUCAAGGGGGCAUGGAAACUGGGUGAGCCUGUGCUUCUCUGGUGGCGGGGGGAUCACUCUUCUUUGUCCCGAGACUUCCUUCGUGUUCCCUGUUCCCCAGACGGCCACACCUCGCCCUUUCCCAAAGGUGGACACUUGCUGUUUGCUAAGCCGUCUCUCUCCCCUGCCAACACCACACCCGUUGGAUGGACCUGUGAUGGAUGGACCUGCGGAGCCUGCGUCCUGCCCUGCGCGGCCCCUGGGGCUUGCUGCUUGGGCACAUGGGGCACAGCGCAGCAUCCGUCCCCUCUCCAUCCUGCGGGGAUGCCAGCAGCCCUGCUUCCUGGGGCUGCUAGGAGGCUGAACUCGAGACAGGGUCUCACCAUGUCACCCGGGCGGAAUUCAAACUAGUAGUCCCAAAGGAUUCUCCUGCCUCAACCUCCUGAGUAGCUGGGACAACAGGCGCACGGCCACAGCUGGCUCUGAAAUUUUGUCUCGUGCAGAAGCCAACAGAAGUUAUUGCAUAGAAUAUACAACAUUUCUA